rnacentral:rRNA from 1 species
GGAAUCUUGCGCAAUGGGCGAAAGCCUGACGCAGCCACGCCGCGUGAGGGAUGAAGGCUCUCGGGUUGUAAACCUCUUUCAGCAGGGACGAAAAUGACGGUACCUGCAGAAGAAGCUCCGGCCAACUACGUGCCAGCAGCCGCGGUAACACGUAGGGAGCAAGCGUUGUCCGGAAUUAUUGGGCGUAAAGAGCUCGUAGGCGGUUCAGUAAGUCAGGUGUGAAAACUCGAGGCUCAACCUCGAGAGGCCACCUGAUACUGCUGUGACUGGAGUCCGGUAGAGGAGUGUGGAAUUCCUGGUGUAGCGGUGAAAUGCGCAGAUAUCAGGAGGAACACCAACAGCGAAGGCAGCACUCUGGGCCGGUACUGACGCUGAGGAGCGAAAGCGUGGGGAGCGAACAGGAUUAGAUACCCUGGUAGUCCACGCCGUAAACGUUGGGCACUAGGUGUGGGGUCUAGCUAACAGAUUCCGCGCCGCAGCUUAACGCAUUAAGUGCCCCGCCUGGGGAGUACGGCCGCAAGGCUA